UGCGGCAUGCUUAACACAUGCAAGUCGAACGGGCGUAUUUGGGUAUAGCGAUAUACUCGGGAUGCGUUUAGUGGCGAACGGGUGAGUAACGCGUGAGCAACCUGCCGUAUACACCGGGAUAACAGACCGAAAGGACUGCUAAUACCGGAUAAGACCACAGUAGGGCAUCCUACAGGGGUCAAAGUGAUUUAGCGGUAUACGAUGGGCUCGCGUCCUAUUAGGUAGUUGGUGAGAUAACAGCCCACCAAGCCGAUGAUAGGUAGCCGACUUGAGAGAGUGAUCGGCCACAAUGGAACUGAGACACGGUCCAUACUCCUACGGGAGGCAGCAGUGGGGAAUAUUGGGCAAUGGGCGAAAGCCUUACCCAGACCAAUGCCGCGUGAAUGAUGAAGGUCUUCGGAUUGUAAAUUUCUUUUAUUGGUGACGAACAAAAUGACGGUAGCCGAUGAAUAAGCCCCGGCUAACUACGUGCCAGCCGCUGC
rnacentral:rRNA from 1 species